rnacentral:rRNA from 1 species
GAUGAACGCUGGCGGCGUGCCUAAUACAUGCAAGUCGAGCGAACAGACGAGGAGCUUGCUCCUCUGACGUUAGCGGCGGACGGGUGAGUAACACGUGGAUAACCUACAUAUAAGACUGGGAUAACUUCGGGAAACCGGAGCUAAUACCGGAUAAUAUAUUGAACCGCAUGGUUCAAUAGUGAAAGACGGUUUUGCUGUCACUUAUAGAUGGAUCCGCGCCGCAUUAGCUAGUUGGUAAGGUAACGGCUUACCAAGGCGACGAUGCGUAGCCGACCUGAGAGGGUGAUCGGCCAGACUGGAACUGAGACACGGUCCAGACUCCUACGGGAGGCAGCAGUCGGGAAUCUUCCGCAAUGGUCGAAAGCCUGACGGAGCAACGCCGCGUGAGUGAUGAAGGUCUUCGGAUCGUAUAACUCUGUUAUUAGCGAAGAACAAAUGUGUAAGUAACUAUGCACGUCUUGACGGUACCUAAUCAGAAAGCCACGGCUAACUACGUG